AUUGAACGCUGGCGGCAGGCCUAACACAUGCAAGUCGAACGCGUGGCGGACGGGUGAGUAAUGUCUGGGAAACUGCCCGAUGGAGGGGGAUAACUACUGGAAACUGUCGCUAACACCGCAUUCCCUCGGUUGUGCCCAUAUGGGAUGAGCUAGUAGGUGGGGUAACGGCUCACCUAGGCGACGAUCCCUAGCUGGUCUGAGAGGAUGACCAGCCACACUGGAACUGAGACACGGUCCAGACUCCUACGGGAGGCAGCAGUGGGGAAUAUUGCACAAUGGGCGCAAGCCUGAUGCAGCCAUGCCGCGUGUAUGAAGAAGGCCUUCGGUUUGUAAAGUACUUUCAGCGAGGAGGCGUUACUCGCAGAAGAAGCACCGGCUAACUCCGUGCCAGCAGCCGCGGUAAUUC
rnacentral:rRNA from 1 species